GGCGGCAGGCUUACACAUGCAAGUCGAACGAAGUUAGGAAGCUUGCUUCUGAUACUUAGUGGCGGACGGGUGAGUAAUGCUUAGGAAUCUGCCUAGUAGUGGGGGAUAACUUGGGGAAACCCAAGCUAAUACCGCAUACGACCUACGGGUGAAAGGGGGCUUUUAGCUCUCGCUAUUAGAUGAGCCUAAGUCGGAUUAGCUGGUUGGUGGGGUAAAGGCCUACCAAGGCGACGAUCUGUAGCUGGUCUGAGAGGAUGAUCAGCCACACUGGGACUGAGACACGGCCCAGACUCCUACGGGAGGCAGCAGUGGGGAAUAUUGGACAAUGGGCGAAAGCCUGAUCCAGCCAUGCCGCGUGUGUGAAGAAGGCCUUUUGGUUGUAAAGCACUUUAAGUGGGGAGGAAAAGCUUAUGGUUAAUACCCAUAAGCCCUGACGUUACCCACAGAAUAAGCACCGGCUAACUCUGUGCCAGCAGCCGCGGUAAUACAGAGGGUGCAAGCGUUAAUCGGAAUUACUGGGCGUAAAGCGCGCGUAGGUGGUUAUUUAAGUCAGAUGUGAAAGCCCCGGGCUUAACCUGGGAACUGCAUCUGAUACUGGAUAACUAGAGUAGGUGAGAGGGGAGUAGAAUUCCAGGUGUAGCGGUGAAAUGCGUAGAGAUCUGGAGGAAUACCGAUGGCGAAGGCAGCUCCCUGGCAUCAUACUGACACUGAGGUGCGAAAGCGUGGGUAGCAAACAGGAUUAGAUACCCUGGUAGUCCACGCCGUAAACGAUGUCUACCAGUCGUUGGGUCUUUUAAAGACUUAGUGACGCAGUUAACGCAAUAAGUAGACC
rnacentral:rRNA from 1 species